rnacentral:rRNA from 1 species
UGCCCCAGUAACGGCGAGUGAAGCGGCAACAGCUCAAAUUUGAAAUCUGGCCCUCCCGGGGUCCGAGUUGUAAUUUGCAGAGGGUGCUUUGGCAUCGGCUGCGGUCCAAGUCCCUUGGAACAGGGCGUCGGAGAGGGUGAGAAUCCCGUAUCUGGCCGCCAGCCUUCGCCGUGUAAAGCCCCUUCGACGAGUCGAGUUGUUUGGGAAUGCAGCUCCAAGUGGGAGGUAAAUUUCUUCUAAAGCUAAAUACCGGCCAGAGACCGAUAGCGCACAAGUAGUGUGAACGAAAGAUGAAAAGCACUUUGGAAAGAGAGUCAAAAAGCACGUGAAAUUGUUGAAAGGGAAGCGCUUGCAGCCAGACGUGCCCGCGGUCGCUCAGCCAGGCCCUCGGCCUGGUGCACUCCUCCGCGGGCAGGCCAGCAUCGGUUCCGGUGGUCGGACAAAGGCCUGCUAAACGUACCUCCCCCGGGAGGACUUAUAGGGUAGGUGGCAUACGACCAGCUGGGAUCGAGGUCCGCGCUUCGGCGAGGAUGCUGGCGUAAUGGUGGCAAGCGGCCCGUCUUGAAACACGGACCAANGGAGUCUAACAUCUAUGCGAGUGUUUGGGUGGCAAGCCCGGGCGCGCAAUGAAAGUGAACGGAGGUGGGAUCCCUUCGCCGGGUGCACCAUCGACCGAUCCUGAAGUCUUCGGAUGGAUUUGAGUAAGAGCAUAGCUGUUGGGACCCGAAAGAUGGUGAACUAAGCUUGAAUAGGGUGAAGCCAGAGGAAACUCUGGUGGAGGCUCGCAGCGGUUCUGACGUGCAAAUCGAUCGUCAAAUUUGGGCUUAGGGGCGAAAGACUAAUCGAACCAUCGACGGCUACUAGGUGGUUGAGAGGGCCUCCCCCCGCGGGGGAGGGAGCGCCCUAGUCUCGCGCGCGGAGGCUACGCCGUCAAAUUGUCGGGGACACCCUGAGAGCUUUU